CACAUCCUGGGGCUGGAGAAGGUUCCAAGGGUUCGGCUGUUCGCCGAUUAAAGUGGCACGCGAGCUGGGUUCAGAACGUCGUGAGACAGUUCGGUCCCUAUCUGUGGUGGGCGUGGGAAUACUGACGGGAUCUGUCCUUAGUACGAGAGGACCGGGAUGGACUCACCGCUGGCGCAUCAGUUAUCAUGCCGGUGGUAUGGCUGAGUAGCUACGUGGGGAUCAGAUAAGCGCUGAAAGCAUCUAAGUGCGAAACUGGCCUGAAGAUGAGUGUUCCGGUAUAAAGGGGUGUUGGAGACGACGACGUUGAUAGGCGGCAGGUAUAAGCGGUGAGAGUCGUUAAGCUGAGCCGUACUAAUGGCCCCGGACGCGUGUUU
rnacentral:rRNA from 1 species